rfam:Picea glauca, whole genome shotgun sequence.
AUAUACAUUCCUACAACAUAGCGUUAAUGCAGUGGAUCCCAUUAGAACUUUGUAGUUAAGAGCUCUCAGGCUAGAGUAGUACUGGAAUGGGUGACUGCCAAGGAAGUCCUAGUAUUUUACAUG